rnacentral:rRNA from 1 species
AUACGGAGGAUGCGAGCGUUAUCCGGAUUUAUUGGGUUUAAAGGGUGCGUAGGCGGUUUGUCAAGUCAGCGGUGAAACGCAAGGGCUUAACCCUUGACCUGCCGUUGAAACUGGCGGACUUGAAUGCGGACGCUGAGGGUGGAAUGUGGGGUGUAGCGGUGAAAUGCAUAGAUAUAGCACAGAACACCAAUUGCGAAGGCAUCUCACAAAUCCGUGAUUGACGCUGAGGCACGAAAGUGUGGGGAUCAAACAGGAUUAGAUCCCCUGGUAGUCCACACUGUAAACGAUGAUGACUCGCUGUCGGCGAUAUACAGUCGGUGGCCAAGCGAAAGCGAUAAGUCAUCCACCUGGGGAGUACGACCGCAAGGUUGAAACUCAAAGGAAUUGACGGGG